AGUAGGGAAUUUUCCACAAUGGACGAAAGUCUGAUGGAGCAACGCCGCGUGAACGAUGAAGGUCUUCGGAUUGUAAAGUUCUGUUGUCAGGGACGAACACGUACCGUUCGAAUAGGGCGGUACCUUGACGGUACCUGACGAGAAAGCCACGGCUAACUACGUGCCAGCAGCCGCGGUAAUACGUAGGUGGCAAGCGUUGUCCGGAUUUAUUGGGCGUAAAGCGCGCGCAGGCGGCUAUGUAAGUCUGGUGUUAAAGCCCGGGGCUCAACCCCGGUUCGCAUCGGAAACUGUGUAGCUUGAGUGCAGAAGAGGAAAGCGGUAUUCCACGUGUAGCGGUGAAAUGCGUAGAGAUGUGGAGGAACACCAGUGGCGAAGGCGGC
rnacentral:rRNA from 1 species